rnacentral:tRNA from 1 species
CGGGCCGUAGCACAGGGUAGUGCGCUUGAAUGGCUUCAAGAGGGAGCGAAUCCCGCCGGCCUGA